rnacentral:tRNA from 1 species
GGAGGGGUGCCAGAGUGGUUGAAUGGGACGGUCUCGAAAAUCGUUUCUCCCGUAGCCCGGGGGACGAGGGUUCGAAUCCCUCCCCCUCCGCCA